rnacentral:rRNA from 1 species
UGGGGAAUCUUCCGCAAUGGACGAAAGUCUGACGGAGCAACGCCGCGUGUAUGAUGAAGGUCUUCGGAUUGUAAAGUACUGUCAUUGGGGAAGAACGGUUUUCUUAAAAAGAUUGAGAAGACAUGACGGUACCCAAGGAGGAAGCCCCGGCUAACUACGUGCCAGCAGCCGCGGUAAUACGUAGGGGGCAAGCGUUGUCCGGAAUUAUUGGGCGUAAAGGGCGCGUAGGCGGGCCUUUAAGUCCGGUGUGAAAGAUCAGGGCUCAACCCUGAGAGUGCAUCGGUAACUGGAGGCCUUGAGGACAGGAGAGGAAAGUGGAAUUCCCGGUGGAGCGGUGAAAUGCGUAGAUAUCGGGAGGAACACCCGUGGCGAAGGCGGCUCUCUGGCCUGUAACUGACGCGGAGGCGCGAAAGCGUGGGGAGCAA